GUUUUUGUUGUUGUUGUUUUCUCCCUCUCUCUCCCCCUCCUCCCCACCAACGGUCGAGUCGGUUUGAUUUUUAAAUUCGUUUCGAACGCUCGUGACAAGAAAACGAAUUCGCCAACGGCUGGCUCUCUCUCUCUCUCUCUCUCUCUCUCUCUCUGUGAGGUAACACGUUAGCAAUAUCGCUAUGAUCGUAUUGUUAAUGUAGACUGUGACUAAACGCUGAAAAUGUUUCGAUCUUUUGAAUGAUUUCUGUCAGGUUUCAGGUUUGAUUUAGCUACUAGCUAACUAUCCAUCUAAUAUCCAGGUCAUUAAUCAGUAAAAAAAAAAAAACCUGACCAGGUUCAAGGUUCUGUCCGGUAGCGUCGAUAUGUCUUCGGGUUGUUUAAACACACAGGGUCGCCAAAAAAAGCUCGAACCCUUAACAAACCAUUGCUAAAAGUGUACAGGUAUACAUCUGUAAUUUCCUGAUUUCUUUCACAUUAGUAGUCAGAAUAUCACGCAAGUCCAUUAGGGCCCAUUAAACCACAGCUAACAGACCAGAAGGGAAGGUCAACACCACAAACCAGAAACGUCUUUCAGGACACUUUUUGAUCGCAUUAAAAGACCAUUCAGGAUGGGUCAGAGGUCACCAUUACGGCAUUCGCGUCCUGAUAUACCCCAAACUUAUCAACAAAAUACAGAUGCUACGUAACAGCUACUAUGAAAUAACAGCAAAAAUAAUUCAUUGUUUAUUAUUCAAUCACAAGCAUGGCCUACAUUAAAUUUUUAUUAUGUUUUCAUUUAUGUGAAUUUAAUUUUCUCCUGUAAACCGUUAAGCUAGCAAUAAUUCAGCAAUGCGUAAUAAUUAUUCACACAAGUGUCCAUUGUUUUUCCCUUAAACCAUUAAAAAGCAGUGUUUCUCGAUCUGCAGUACUACUGACCUGCACAUGCUGAUAUUUUCCCUCCCCUAACUCAUCAGCUGAUUAACUAAUUAAGUUAGGAGUUGAGGUGUGAGGUAUAUAAGGAGCAGGAUUUAGAACCUCAGAAUCCUACAACAGCAAGAAUCUCAAGUAGAACCGAAUCAGACAAAACAAAAGAAUGUCAGGACUACUGACCGCCGCAGGAAUCCGCCAGGCACGGUUUUUCUUAAUAGACCAUGGUAGCACUCAGGUUUGUGGCUAGAAGUUUUGACCAACCUCUCAGAAGACCAAGGAGGAGAAGAUUAGCACCGGUCGAUAGCAUCGGUCGUCAUGCUAACGUCCUGGAAAUAAAACGUCCCAGAGUUGCAGUAGCCACUCUGCUGUAGUCGGAGCAUUUGGUGCAAUUAUCCACUCUCUCUGGCGCCACUGUCAGCAUAUAGAAAUGCAAAUUGUGCAGAGAAAUGUUUUGCCUUUCUUUUCGAAAAGCAGACAAAGAGUCGGGUGAUGCCGGCACCUCAGAUCCACAGCGUGGGCAAUUAGUUUCAAUUAUUCCCACUGUCCUGCAUCUCUACAACAUCGGCGUGAACCAGAAUAACCUGUUGAUUGACAGUAAAAAAAGUGAUGCGGAGAAGGAGACAGACGCUAAGCCCUCGUGCUAAUUAGCUGGGGACCACGGAGAGCUCCACGGCUGACAUCCCGACCUCUCUUUCCUCUUCCUGAGCUCAAAAUCACACUGUGUGUGUUUCUUUCUACAAAAUGUAAAUUCACGUCUAGAUUUAGAAACCAGAAUGUGAGAAUUAACCUCUGAAUAAAUACAUUUCUAAUGACCCACUUUAUCCGAAGUGAAGAAAAGCUGAGAAGGAUUUUGCUUAAGGUCCUUAUGUGGCAGUAAUGUGGUCACUAGCAUCAAAACAAAGCCACUACUGACCUUCAGUAAUGACUAAAUGAAAGGAAGUGUCUAAGAACAAAAAUAUCUUUCCUUAGGCUUUAACACAAGGAUUCUACAGUGUCAAUGAUUUAUUUUAAUAUUUAUUUUUUUUAACUCAAUUAAAGAGCCAAAUUCAAAAAACAUUAGGUCUAGCUUCUGUCCAUGACGUUAUCCUGGAUGUAAGGUGUUUUGUUGGUGUUUAAUUAGGUUCAUGAAUUUAAUCUGUUCUGAAAAUGUUUUGAUUUUAAAAUUUGCUUAUUUUAAUUUUCCUGACUUUGUUCCUCUGUAAAGGCAAAGUGCUUUAACGGAUCUCAAUAAAGCCAUCUUUAUUUAUCAGAGCGGAUUAUCAAACACGUCAGGAUCGGUAUAAUCGUGGCUAAGCAGUCUAUGUGGAUUUGUUGGACCUGUCACGGGUUGAGUUAACGUGAGGUUCUGCAAGUCUGAGACAUUUCUGAGGAAGGUAUCAGAUGAGCGAGCGUGUGCUGCUUCAACACUCAUCCAAAAUCUGGCGUAGGAUGACAUAAAAACUCUUGGGACAGCUCCAUAUAUGGUAGCAACAAUGAUGAAAUGGGAAUGAAACAUGCUAACGGACAGAAAUAUGAUCUCCUCGUUACCUCAAGGUCACUUUGAAGAGUGUUUAAAGAAAAGCUCAUCUACGAAAAAUGUUGAUCAUUGAUGAAUAGAAAAUGUUGCAGGUCUACGAUAAGAGGAUCUUCAUCAUAUAUCUGACAAGAACAUACGUUCUUAUUAUAUGCUUUUAGCUUGUCUGUGGGAUAAGGACCAAGGACAGCACCAUGACUCAGGACCAAGAACAGCUCCAUUGCACCACUACUCAGAACCAUGGACAGCUCCUCUGAAAUGUAGAGACUACUUCUAUAAAAUGAUCUUCUUUCACAACACAAGCACAAGUGAAUGAGCUGUUACUAUAGAAACCUAAAUUAAAAUGAAAUAUAAACCUGUGUUUUGUAGCUGCAGAGAAAAUCAAUCAACAGCGUCUGACCAAUCAGAAUUCAGAACAGUGGUACAGAGAUGGUUAUGUUGCUCAUUACGGUCCUGAUGCUCACAAUUACUGAGUGCCAACCUUUUUUUUUUCUUGACUCAGUGAAAACCCCACCCCAUUACUCUCAGCCUCUGGCAGUUUACCCUCUUUGAGAUUCACAGAUGGUCAGAAAUUUCGCAUUUAUUCCACCAUGUUUUAAGCCAAUUUUUUUUUCCCCAGCACAUGUAUGACAAACACAAAGAACAGCGACGAGCAACAACCAAUAAGAGUAAAACAAGAACUUCAGUCAUCAGCCUGGAGGCUAUUUGACGCUCUGUGUGGACCAAGAAAUGGACGGAAAGCUAAUCAAACUUUGGCAAGAACAUAAACGCUUUGCUUUUUUGUGUGUGUCAAGUUGGAACAUUAUCAUAAAUGAAAAGAAGUAAAAGCAGAAUCCCAUGGUUUCUAGCGAUGAUGUUGGAAAUGAGUUCUCUCCAGAAUCUUUUUCCAGAACAGACCAUCCUGACUGCCCUCAGCUCCCCAAACAAAAUCUCUCCCAUACAACCAGCUCUGAGUUCUUCCCUUACUCAUGUCCAAGUCACAAACUCAACACAUUUGGCAGUCAAACACAGUUCCUACUACAUGCUGUUUCUUAUGGGAAAAAUUGGAUUUUUGGGAAUGGUGUGGACUUUAUGGUCAGGUAAAAAUAAUAAUCUAGUGUGCAUGCUUUGGUCAGUAUGUCAUAAAGAUCCCAAACAAUUCCAGUUGCAUAUUUUUAAUGUAAGAUCUUGGAAGUGAAAAAGACAUUUUAAAUGAAUUUGCCAGUCCUGGUCUCUUGGGUAAGUUCUGCUCUUUGCCUUUAAAGACUUUAAUAAGAUCAUCCAACAAACAUCACUUGAGCUGUCUUGUAACGUGCCAAAUGGUUAAGAUGACAUCCAUAAAAUGUCUUUUUCCCAGAGGCCCCAAAAUGCUUCUGUUUUGUUGUGUUUGAAUGUCUUUGUCAUGUCUCACUCCACAGUGGAGGUUACUAUGAAGCUCAUAUGAAAGCAGACACUCAGGACUUCAGGAUUUCUGUGUAUUUUUCCAUAGCUUACCAGGGACAAUAUAUUCAUAGGAAAGUACAGAAAAAUUACGGUUAUUUUUUUCCACACAAAUGUUUGUAUCUUCAGAGUAAAUGUUGAGAUCAAACCCAUUUCUGCUCUCUGAGAUGUUCUCCGAGUGCUUGUUCAUCUAAAAAGUAGCUCAGAUUUCAUCUUCAACCAGGAAAAUUCUGUGUAAGGUUCUCCAACAGAGGGAAAAACACACGGCUAAAACACACCAACAGACUCAUUUUAGAUCAGACUCAGCCUGAGCAUCAUUCAUUACUUUAUACU